GCUGCCGCAGGGUUGGCGGACUCGGGAAGGAGCGAAGAUGGCGGAGUGAGGCGUGCCGCUGCGAGCCGGCCGUUGGGCCGGGGGCGGCAAGGCCCCCGGAGUGUCCAGUGCGUCUGCUAGUCGGUGCGAGGAAGAACAUUUUCUUUGGCUUCCAGGUGCUUUUCUAUUCAUCUUAAGAAGAAAGCAAAAAUCUGAACUCAGGAUUUGGCAAGUAUUCUGUCUUGUCUCCUGGAGUAGGUAGUCCUUUUAUCCAGCCACUUGUCCUAUUCUUGAAAUGUGGAUAUCUCUUUUCUACAUGUUUUACCUCCAUGGUUUGGAUUGGAAAAGGCUGCUUUUUUUUGUUGUUCCUUUUCUCAGAUUCAACAUUGAGAGGCUCCUAGGAUGCAGUUGUCUUGCCAAGUUCUCCAGAAAGAAAGAAGCAACUGAUGUACAUGUUCUGCUUUUUGCUUAAUUACAAAGAAAUUAUUUUGGAAGCUGAAACUGAUGCUUAAUUUGAAACAGGUGCUUAGAUGCUGGUGUAUGUUAAUACUUUACCUUUUGUUCCAAACAAGAAGACUAAAUACAGAGCAAGUAUGGAUGGGUUCAGGGGUUUUUUGUUGUUGGUGGGUUUUUUGUUGUUUUUUUUUUUUAAUGUCUUCCAUUUUCGGCCACUGUCAUAAGCACAGUCAAAUCUGCAAGGAGUACAUUCCAAAUAUGUGUUCUAAUAUGAAAUGAAAGAGAUGCUUAAAAACUACAAAUAUUAAAUAUCUAAAUCGUGACUCAUCCUUUGAAGUACAUUUGCUGGAAAAGAACAAAAGCCCAAUUUUGCAAUAAAACCUUUGAUGUGAUAAAGAAGCAUAAAGACAAAAUGAUUCAAGAUUAACAGAGUCUGUCAAAUAUACGUUUACAUGUGCAAAUCUACAUUUUGGACGAGAAGCGGGAUUUUUCUCCUAGAGAAGGAAGCUGUUGCUGGUUUCUGUCUGAGAAGUCUUUGGACAUUUCAUAUUUUUAAAUGAUUUUUCACUUUUCUAAGGAAGGACCACAUUGUACAUUUGCUAACCAUGUGAAUGCAUGGUUGAGUUUACUGAAAGUUCGGAAAAGGAAACAAAACAGCUUCAAGUCCAGUGAUGGAACCCUGUUCACCUCCCUCAGAUGAGAGGCUCCUUAUAUUGCAAAUUAUUCCAUUCUUUUUUGUGGAUUCUUACAUAGCACUUGAGACAUGGAAACAUGCUGCUAAGCAGGAACAAGAGUGGCUUAAGUGGUUUUUCUGUUCAGAAAAUAUGGUGGAUUCUCUAUUAUGACCUGCCUUCAACUUUGGGCAUGGAGGAAUGGGGAACAAAAACAUACCCAGAGAAUUCCUUUCUCCUGAGAAAAAAGCAGCAAAAAUGCCUUAUGCAGCUCCAUCUGACUUUAUGACAUCUUACAUUCUGUAGCUCCUGUUUUCU